rnacentral:ncRNA from 1 species
CGGCCUGAGGUCGGACGAGGCUACCCGCUGAAUUUAAGCAUAUUACUAAGCGGAGGAAAAGAAACUAACGAGGAUUCCCUCAGUAACGGCGAGUGAAGCGGGACGAGCCCAGCGCCGAAUCCGGCCGCUUAUGGAGCGGACGGAAUUGUGGCGUAUGGAAUUCGCUUCGAGCGCGGACCGGCUGCCCACGUCCUUCUGAUCGAGGCUUCAUCCCAUAGCGGGUGUCAGGCCCUUGGCGGCGGCUGGCCCGGGCUCUCGGUGUCUUCCCGGAGUCGGGUUGUUUGGGAAUGCAGCCCAAAGCGGGU